AGCCCUUCGGGGUGGAUCAGUGGCGAACGGGUGAGUNACACGUGAGCAACCUGCCCUCCACUUCGGGAUAAGCCUUGGAAACGAGGUCUAAUACCGGAUAUGACAUUGCCCUGCAUGGGGUGGUGUGGAAAGUUUUUCGGUGGGGGAUGGGCUCGCGGCCUAUCAGCUUGUUGGUGGGGUGAUGGCCUACCAAGGCGACGACGGGUAGCCGGCCUGAGAGGGCGACCGGCCACACUGGGACUGAGACACGGCCCAGACUCCUACGGGAGGCAGCAGUGGGGAAUAUUGCACAAUGGGCGAAAGCCUGAUGCAGCGACGCCGCGUGAGGGACGACGGCCUUCGGGUUGUAAACCUCUUUCAGCAGGGAAGAAGCGCAAGUGACGGUACCUGCAGAAGAAGCGCCGGCUAACUACGUGCCAGCAGCCGCGGUAAUACGUAGGGCGCAAGCGUUGUCCGGAAUUAUUGGGCGUAAAGAGCUCGUAGGCGGUCUGUCGCGUCUGGUGUGAAAACUCGAGGCUCAACCUCGAGCUUGCAUCGGGUACGGGCAGACUAGAGUGCGGUAGGGGAGACUGGAAUUCCUGGUGUAGCGGUGGAAUGCGCAGAUAUCAGGAGGAACACCGAUGGCGAAGGCAGGUCUCUGGGCCGCAACUGACGCUGAGGAGCGAAAGCAUGGGGAGCGAACAGGAUUAGAUACCCUGGUAGUCCAUGCCGUAAACGUUGGGCACUAGGUGUGGGGACAGUUCCACUGUUUCUGUGCCGCAGCUAACGCAUUAAG
rnacentral:rRNA from 1 species